CAACAGUUCACAUCCCGGCUUGCAAGAGUUGCAUACAUGGCUAUAAAUCCACUGCAACUUUCAAUCCUCGUCUUCUAAUUUCCUCAAAAAUCAUAGCUGCUUCGUUUUGAGUUCCGAAUCCUCCGAGUAUAUAAACUUGAUUAAUGCCUCGAUCCUGAAUACUGUCGGCAAUCUUUGAGGUAUCAUGUCCUCCAUACGAUGUCUUCAAAAUGGUUCCGCCGUUGAUGCGUUUCCGUUGUCGUUGGAGUUGGCUGAUUUUUGUACAACUAAUGCUGACUCCAUCCACUCGACAGAAGAGAUACCGUCUGGUGAUGCAAGCUUCAAGGCCUCUCCUUUCAGCCCAUCCUGGAACUCAAACUUUAGAACCAUCUCUUGGAGCAUAAGCUGAGCGCCUUGAUCGAGCCUGCUGUUGUGUUGGCUGCGGUACAGGAAAAGCUGUAAUGGAAAAAUGGUUGCCUGAACUCAAGACCGGUGUUUUGAACGCUCGACAAAGUUUAGAAGACUGCAAAUAUGUCAGGGGACUGCUUGAUGUGGAUGGAAUUCAAUGGAGAUGCCGGAUUUGAAGACUGAAAAUUAGAAGCAUUCGUAAUGGUGUUUGGAGGUAGCAUUCUCAUUUCUCUUGGGCAAUAACGCUGGGUUGAUAUUAGGAAGAACACCACCGUGAGCAACGGUGACACCAGCCAACAAUUUUCCAAGUUCUACAUCAUUCCUUAUAGCCAACAGCAAAUGCCUUGGACUGAUUGGAAUAUGAAUGAUUGUUUACUAAAUUGUAUUGAAUGGAAUUUGAUGUAUUCUCAUCAGUUAGCUUGUUAGGAUUGAAUGGAUUUUGGAUAUGAAAUGGAUAUGAAAUGGAUUUUGGUUCCAAA